rnacentral:misc_RNA from 1 species
CGUUUAUCUGAGCUCCUCAGUCCUCCUCCAUUACACACAUUGCUCCAUCAUAUACACCAAUACACGAUACACAUUCACACAAGUUCUGUCUUGAUCUAAACAAGUCUCAACCAGUCUAAAUACUGAAUAGCCCCAACACCUUCAGUAAACUCACGUGUUAACAACUGUUAAAAAUUAUUCAAUAAUAAAUCAUUUACAUUGUUGAUUGAUAAAAAAUAAUAUUCUUUAAACGUGUGAUUAUUGAUAUAAUUUUAUUAAAAAAUGUCAUCGUCCGAGAAAAUUUUAAAGAAAAAAAUUAAAAAAAAAGAAAAGGUUAAAAUUGACAAUUUAAAAUUAAAAAAUGCAGCUUUGGCCCUCAAUAAAAAUGAUGAAUCCGGGGAGUCUUCGGUUAACAAAGUUAACAAGAAAAAAAUUAAAAAAACUAACCUAAAAAAAGAGACAUCAGUAAAAAUCAAGCCUAAAAAAGCUUCCAAGAAAACUUCUGUAGUUGAGAAACAAUCUGAGCAUGAAGAUGAUCAUGAUGAUGAGGAAGAAGAUCAAAAAAUGGAAAGCGACGAUGCAAGUGAUGAACCUAUGGAAGAAUCAGAUGAUAAUGUUAAUAAUAAUGAUGAUAAUGGUAAUGGUAAUGGCAAGGGUAAUGAUGAUGAUGAUGAUGAUAAUAGUAAUAAUGGCAAUGGUAAUAAAGAUGAUGAUGAUGAUGAUGAUGAUGAUGAUGAUGAUGAUGAUGAUGAUGAUGAUGAUAAUGAUGACGACGACGACAAUGAAAUGUUGCCAGGAUCAUCAGUUGGUCUUGCUGUAUCCACAAAACCAGAUUUUUCAUCUCUAGUAGGUAGUGUUUCUGAAAAUACAUUAAAAAGUAUUGAAGAAAUGAAGUUUCCAGAGAUGACUGAAAUUCAAGCAAAGGCAAUACCUCCAUUACUUGAAGGAAGAGAUGUUGUUGGUGCUGCUAAAACAGGGUCUGGUAAAACACUUGCAUUUCUUAUACCAGCAGUUGAAUUAAUAUAUAAAAUAAAAUUUAUGCCAAGAAAUGGUACUGGUUGUAUUAUAAUAUCACCAACACGUGAAUUAGCAAUGCAAACAUUUGGUGUAUUAAGACAACUUAUGAAAUAUCAUUAUCAUACAUAUGGUUUGAUAAUAGGUGGUACUAGUAGACAAACAGAACAACAAAAAUUAGCAAAAGGUGUUAAUAUUGUUGUUGCAACACCUGGAAGAUUACUUGAUCAUUUACAAAAUACUCCUGAUUUUUUGUAUAAAAAUUUACAAUGUCUUGUUCUUGAUGAAGCUGAUAGAAUUUUGGAUAUUGGAUUUGAAGAAGAUCUCAAACAAAUUAUCAAAUUAUUACCAAAACGAAGACAAACAAUGUUAUUUAGUGCAACACAAACUAAAAAAACUGAAGCAUUAGCAUCACUUGCAUUAAAAAAAGAACCUAUUUAUGUUGGUGUUAAUGAUGAAGAUGAACAAGCAACUGUUGAUACUCUUACCCAAGGUUAUGCUGUUUGUCCAAGUGACAAAAGACUUUUACUAUUAUAUUCAUUUCUUAAAAGAAAUCAGAGAAAAAAAAUUGUUGUGUUUUUUAGUUCUUGUAUGUCUGUUAAAUUUCAUAGCGAAUUAUUUAAUUACUGUGAUAUAGAAGUUAUGAGUCUUCACGGUAAACAAAAACAAACAAAACGUACAACAACAUUUAACCAAUUUGAAACUGCAAAGACUGCAAUAUUAUUAUGUACUGAUGUUGCUGCAAGAGGUCUUGAUUUUCCGAAUGUUAGUUGGAUUGUUCAAUAUGAUCCUCCAGAUGAUCCAAAGGACUAUAUUCAUCGUGUUGGUAGAACAGCACGUGCUGGUACCAGUGGUCAUGCACUUUUAUUUUUACGACCUGAAGAACUUGGUUUUCUUCGUGAAUUACGUUUACAAAAAGUAAACGUUGAGGAAUUUCAAUUAAAUUGGAAGGAUAUUUCAAAUAUUCAAUCACAGGUUGAAAAUUUAGUAUCAACCAAUAAGUUUAUGUAUGCAUCAGCAAAAGAAGCAUUUAAAUCAUAUGUACGUGCUUAUGAGUCACAUCAUUUGAAACAAAUAUUUAAUAUUGACACACUGGAUUUAAAAGAAGUUGCAAAAUCAUUUGGUUUUGUAGUACCACCUAAUAUUGCAUUACGAAUGGGAGCAAGCAGUUUAUCUAGAAAUGCACCAAGAGAAAAUCAUCGAGGUGGAUAUGGUUAUGCAAGAAAUUCAAACAACAGUAAUAGAGGUCGAAAUUUUCGUCAAGGAAGACAAAAUAGAGAUGCACGUCAAUUUUCACGUUAAUUAUAUUAAUUCAAUAUAGAAAAAAUAUAAAAAUUGAAUUAUCAUAAUUUUAUUUUUAAAAAAUCAUUUUUUUUUUUAAAUCAAUAAACAAUAAUCAAAAUAAUCUAUAAUCAUUUUUUUUUUUUCAAUUUUAUUUAUUCAGUAUAAUGUAUUAUUUAUUAAAAUAAUAUUUACUAUUGAAUAUUUUUUUAAAUAAUACAUUCAAGUAAAGAAGCAUUAACACCCACAAUUUUUUUUAAUAUUUUUUUUUCAUGAUUAGAAAGAAUGAAAAGAAAGAAAGAAACUUCUACUCAUGCUACGAAAAAUGGGUCGUGUGCCAGUCCAUCUAUGGUCCGAGUAAGUGACGUCAACAUAAAUAAAAAAAUAAAAAAAAAAAAAACUUAAACAUUAACCAAUAUGUGUGUAGGCGAGAAACAG